CAGAUUGGUCCCAAUCGUUAGAUACCCUAAUUAGAAUAAUCUAUGGCGAUGGUAGAGAUUAUCAGCAACGUGUGGCGUAAAUGGCUGGGAGCAUGAAACUUUGUGUAUCUACGGUGUAGCGAAAAUGAAUAAGCAAAAAAGCAAUUGGCAAAACUUUCGGGAAUUUGGCAGACGGAAAAUUACCGAUGGACCGCAUCACCGCCCCACACGACGUGCGACUGACACCUGUCCAGUCGCACGCGGUGGGGCGUUCCCGCGUGCGACGCUAACGUGACGGACGUUAGCCCCAAAAUCAACUCAAAAGUGCUGGAACGCGCCCCCUGAAGCUCUUUUCCCAUAUUCGCGCCCCUCCUGAAGCUCAAUUCAGAGGAGAGGCUCUGACCCCCGUUCUCUGCCCGAGCUCGGAUCUCCGCUCCCAUCUCCGGCACCGGCGAACGCUCCGGUCACCAGGUGUUGGACUGUUUUUCAUUUCAAGAAACCAAUGUGAAGAAAAAACUAAGGAGUGAUGCGCUAGCAUGUUAAGUAGUUUAUCAGUCAGGUUCAUUUUCUAAACAAUUCCAUCUGUUAAGGGACCCUCUUGAUUGACCAUGUCUUACUUCCCCGAAAUAUGUUUUGGCUAUGGUUAUGAACUCCAUCCACCUUAGGAAAAAACUACAGAAGGAGAAAGUAGUGCAGUGAUUGGCUAUGGCUACACAAAGCUGAAUUUUCUAACUUUAUUAUUAAUUUGUAUGCUUUGGUACAGAUACAGAAAGCUGAAUUUUCAAACACUUUAUUAUUAAUUUGUAUGCUUUGGUACAAAUGUUGUUUGGCUA